UAAGGAAUAUUGGUCAAUGGACGCAAGUCUGAACCAGCCAUGCCGCGUGAAGGAUGAAGGUCCUCUGGAUUGUAAACUUCUUUUAUCUGGGACGAAAACGGGAUUUUUAUCUCAAUUGACGGUACCAGAGGAAUAAGCACCGGCUAACUCCGUGCCAGCAGCCGCGGUAAUACGGAGGGUGCGAGCGUUAUCCGGAUUUACUGGGUUUAAAGGGUGCGUAGGUGGGCUUAUAAGUCAGCGGUGAAAUCUCCGAGCUUAACUUGGAGACUGCCGUUGAUACUAUAGGUCUUGAAUUAUCUAGAGGUAAGCGGAAUAUGUCAUGUAGCGGUGAAAUGCUUAGAUAUGACAUAGAACACCAAUUGCGAAGGCAGCUUACUACAUAUAAAUUGACGCUGAGGCACGAAAGCGUGGGGAUCAAACA
rnacentral:rRNA from 1 species